CUAGCUGUAACCCUUCCCUCAGACUCUGGAAAAAUAUUGUGCGUAUAGGUCUGCCCGGCUGGCUAUUGUGCUUUGCGAAGGACCCCUGUUGAUGUCAGAAUGGAACUGUCCAAGUUUUAGGCCUUGUGUUGUUACUAAGUUGUGGGCCUGGUUAACACUAUCUGCUUGGUGACAAGCUGUGAAAGGAAAGAGUGUUGAUGGCUUUAAUAUGUAUAGAAGGGGGUAUGGAUCAAGUAACACCAUUUUGAUUGGGCUGGGAAGCAAGAGGCUCUGAUUGGCUGGAGAUGCUAGUCAGUGAAGAAACGGCAGUUAACUGUUGGGAAAGUCAGUUGAUGAGGGAGAUUUGAGCAAACACCAGAAGCAACUGAGGGGAGAGGAGGUAGCUGAGCUCUGGAGAUGAAGCUAUUCUUACCCAGCUUGGUGUGACCAGCACUGAUACCAACUGGAGAAAGAGUACUGCACUUUGCUGUAGGUAGCAGUGUGAGGGGAACCAGGAACCAAGAGCUCCCAGAUGACCCAGUAGCCAGGGCCAAAGAGGAAGUCAGAAGAACACAGGGCAAACCAGAAGCUAGGAUCAAGAAGCAAGCAAACAAAUAAAGAUUGAGAAGACCCUUACAUUGUGUAUCACUCUGAGACUGUGUUUGUGAGAAGGCACAAUAGUGACACAAGACAAAAACAACUAACAGACAGGCUAGGUCAUAUAAAGCAACCAGAAGGAAUCUCUGCCACACAGAGCAGCUAGAAGGAAGUUUUAAUAUUUUCAGCAGAACUUGUUGCAUUUAUUGAAAUUGAAGUUCAUCUAUUCAGGUAUUUGGAUUGCCCGUGGUGCUGGUUUCCCAUUGCAGUGAGGACAAUAACAUUGUGCUUUCACCAGGGAAGGGUUUCCCCAUCGAGGUUUACAAAAGUGCCAGUGUUUUUCUCUGAGAGACACGCAAGGGUGUUUAGGAUCUCUUUCACACCCUCAUCCACUUUCACUGGGGCUAGUAUACCCUGGAAAAGGAGAACAGCAGAAGUAGCUGACCUGUGACCCUCCAGAUGUUGUUGAGACUCCCAAAUCCCGUCUGCUUCAGACAGACAGCAUGGCCAUUCCAGUAAUCAGGAACUCUGGGAGUUGUAGACCAACAACAUCUGAAGAUCCACAGCAUAGCUAGCCAUGCUUUAAGGUGUCCCCCAACACUGUCAUUUGAAGCAGCUUUUCUUUAUAGAUCACUCAGAGAUGUAGAAAAAGCACAACCCUAAGAGUAUAGCCUGUGAUAUUCCUGGCUGCAUUUUGCAAUGCCUUGUCUACUGAGGCCACUGAAAGACCAAUUUAAUUCUCUUGGAGUCAGAAAUGAUCAUAAUCAUCAUCAUCAUCAUUUAUUGAAUUUAUAUAUACAACAUUCAGUGGCAAACAAUUCCACAGGCGAAUUGAUUAGUGUGUGAUGGAAUUCCCCAUGUCUUCUGAACCUGCUAUAGAUUGUGUUGGAUG